AAAAGGAAGUGAGGUCCUGUUGGGUCAUAGAGGCCAUUCUAAAGACUCCAACUGCUUUUAGAGACAUGAGAUGCCAUUGGAAAAUAAUGAGGAGGGGAGUGACAUGGCCUCUUUUAAAUUUUAUAAAGGACACAUUGGCUGUUCUAUUGCAAAUCAACUGUAAGGAGGCAGAUACAGAAGCAGGAAGUUCAUAGAGGAAGCUAUUAAAAGAAUUGAGACAAGAAAAGAUGGGUAGAUCAAGGCUUGUCCUGUGACUGGGUCCUGGCCUCAGAAGCAAAGCUCAAAGCCAGUGAGAGGCAGGUGCAGCAGUAAAUGAUGAGCAGUGAUACUGAAGAACAGGGGUUCACUAGUGGGAACAAAAGUGAAAUCUCUAGGCUAAGCAGCAGUACAGAUGGGAAAGCAUAUUCUUCUGACCAUAUAGCCAGUACUCUACCACCACAUCUCACAGACUGGUCUGGCUUCUGAAAUAUAUGAGCUACAGAAUACACAUUCCCAGGGGAACUGGAGACCUGAUAUGGACAUCAUAAAUCAAGCCUUAUUGGACAGAUGUGUUUGGAGUUGAAGACCUACCAAUCUUAUUCCUUUAUGGCACUGGGACUACAGAAUUGGCUCUUUGAUGUAGAUGAUCUCAUCUAAUUUGGAUAUUUAGCAUUGGCUUGGAAUAUCCGAGGAAAUUUCUUCAUUUAUAAAGCUAGAGGUUGGGGAUAAAUUAUCUUUCUUUGAAGAUUCCCUAAACCAGUUGAAUAACAAAUGUG